AUUGAACGCUGGCGGCAGGCCUAACACAUGCAAGUCGAGCGAGCGGCGGACGGGUGAGUAAUGUCUGGGAAACUGCCUGAUGGAGGGGGAUAACUACUGGAAACGGUAGCUAAUACCGCAUACCAUCAGAUGUGCCCAGAUGGGAUUAGCUAGUAGGUGGGGUAACGGCUCACCUAGGCGACGAUCCCUAGCUGGUCUGAGAGGUUGACCAGCCACAAUGGAACUGUGAACCGGUCCAGAGUCCUACGGGAGGCAGCAGUGUGGAAUAGUGCACAAUGGAGGCAGGCCUGAUGCAGCCAUGCCGCGAGUGUGAAGAAGGCCUUCGGGUUGUAAAGCACUUUCAGCGGGGAGGCGUUACCCGCAGAAGAAGCACCGGCUAACUCCGUGCCAGCAGCCGCGGUAAUAC
rnacentral:rRNA from 1 species